rnacentral:rRNA from 1 species
ACGGGUGAGUAAUGCCUAGGAAUCUGCCUGGUAGUGGGGGACAACGUCUCGAAAGGGACGCUAAUACCGCAUACGUCCUACGGGAGAAAGCAGGGGACCUUCGGGCCUUGCGCUAUCAGAUGAGCCUAGGUCGGAUUAGCUAGUUGGUGAGGUAAUGGCUCACCAAGGCGACGAUCCGUAACUGGUCUGAGAGGAUGAUCAGUCACACUGGAACUGAGACACGGUCCAGACUCCUACGGGAGGCAGCAGUGGGGAAUAUUGGACAAUGGGCGAAAGCCUGAUCCAGCCAUGCCGCGUGUGUGAAGAAGGUCUUCGGAUUGUAAAGCACUUUAAGUUGGGAGGAAGGGUUGUAAACUAAUACGCUGGUGUUUUGACGUUACCGACAGAAUAAGCACCGGCUAACUCUGUGCCAGCAGCCGCGGUAAUACAGAGGGUGCAAGCGUUAAUCGGAAUUACUGGGCGUAAAGCGCGCGUAGGUGGUUUGUUAAGUUGGAUGUGAAAGCCCCGGGCUCAACCUGGGAACUGCAUUCAAAACUGACAAGCUAGAGUAUGGUAGAGGGUGGUGGAAUUUCCUGUGUAGUCGGUG